UAGGGAAUCUUCCACAAUGGGCGCAAGCCUGAUGGAGCAACACCGCGUGAGUGAAGAAGGGUUUCGGCUCGUAAACCUCUGUUGUUGGAGAAGAACGUGCGUAAGAGUAACUGUUUACGCAGUGACGGUAUCCAACCAGAAAGUCACGGCUAACUACGUGCCAC
rnacentral:rRNA from 1 species